rnacentral:rRNA from 1 species
GACGAACGCUGGCGGCGUGCUUAACACAUGCAAGUCGAACGGAAAGGCCUCAGCUUGCUGGGGUACUCGAUUGGCGAACGGGUGAGUAACACGUGGGUGAUCUGCCUUGCACUCUGUGAUAAGCUUUGGAAACUGGGGCUAAUACCGGAUAUGAACUGCCUUUCGUGUUGUGGCUGUAAAGUUUUUUCGGUUCAAGGUGAGCUCUCGGGCUAUCAGCUUCUUGUUGGGUUAAUGGCCUACCAAGGCGUCGACGGGUAGCCGGCCUGAGAGAGUGUAAGGCCAUCUUGGGACUGAGAUGAGGCACAGACUCCGACGGGAGGGAGCAGUGGGGAAGAUUGAAGAAGCGGCGGAAGCCUGAUGCAGAGAGGCUGCGUGGGGGAUGACGGCCUUCGGGUUGUAGAAUCCUUUCGACAGGGACGAAGCUUUUUGUGACGGUACCUGUAUAAGAAGCCACGGCUAACUACGUG